rnacentral:lncRNA from 1 species
UCUUGUACAACCAAUACUUAGAAAGUGAUUGCUUACAGAUCUUUACUAUCAAUAAAUUCCACAAAACCAAAUGCAUUCAAACAAUUAUGACAAUAGUACAAAAACUCUUCAUCGUUCACUACAAUAGAUCGAGUUUAAUUGAAGCCACAAUUCAAAUUCAAUUACCGGCAUUUUCCUGCACAUUCAAAAUAAAAUUAUAAUUUAGUUAAAUAAAUCAUGUAUUUAAUAUGCUCAAUGCUAGUCAUUUUUAACAAUACUUCCCAGCCCCUUCCCAAUGUAGAGGUACUGUUAUGAAAAACAGGACUCUUAGUUUCAAUUAAAAAAUCCCUAGGCUGAAUCAUUUACUAUGCACACGGUUGUAUCAAACAUUUAUGGACAACAUUUGUCUAAACAUUCCUAAUCCUACACUGUAAAUCAAAAUAAGUGAAAGUUUGCUUUACAAACAAGUAGCAUCACAUUUCAGUGGAUUAACAUAAACUUUGGUGUAUGUAAAUAAGCACUAGCUAGCCUGUGAAGGCAAAACAAGAAAGGAAGAGGAGGUUUCACUUGUCAAAGCCAUUUUGGUCUAAAAGGUAUGGGAGCAAUAAAAUCACAAAAACUAAACAUUAUUGAUUUGAAGGCAAUUUUAAAUUUAUCCACUACUUCACUGUAACAUAUUAAAAGUCUAUUUAUCACACUACUAAGACAUAAAUGAAUUCCUAGCACCAAGAUAUUUAUAAUGGUCAUACCUAUGGAGGAUGUGGAAAUAAAUG